rnacentral:rRNA from 1 species
ACGAACGCUGGCGGCGUGCUUAACACAUGCAAGUCAAGGGGGCCCAGCAAUGGGCAACCGGCGAACGGGUGCGUAACACGUGAGCAACCUACCGAAAUGUGGGGGAUAGCCGGCCUAACGGCCGAGUAAUACCGCAUACGCUCUCGAUGAGGCAUUUCAUUGAGAGGAAACCUACGGGACAUUUCGAGGGGCUCGCGGCCUAUCAGCUAGUUGGCGAGGUAACGGCUCACCAAGGCGACGACGGGUAGCUGGUCUGAGAGGAUGGCCAGCCACAUUGGGACUGAGAUACGGCCCAGACUCCUACGGGAGGCAGCAGUGGGGAAUCUUGCGCAAUGGCCUAACGGCUGACGCAGCGACGCCGCGUGUGGGAUGAAGCUCUUCGGAGUGUAAACCACUGUUGCCCCGGGACGAAUAGCUCGAUUAAUCGAGCCUGACGGUACCGGGUGAGGAAGCACCGGCUAACUCCGCGCCAGC